CAUCAUUAGCACAUGUACAUGUAGGUUCAUCACUUGUUCCUGCCACAUCAACUGAAAAACGUAGAGCAGAAGUUAUUCCUGAAGUUGCUUAUAGAGUGAUGUCAGAAUGUAUUUCAGAGCUCAAACACUGUGGGAUUGAUCUUCACUUCUUAGCAGAGAAGUUAUUAGAGAAGAAGAUAAUAAAUAAUAGACAAAAGAAGAAAGCCACUGAUGAACACAGUGGACGUACCACUGACCAGAGAAUGGAUCAACUACUUGACCUUAUUAGAGGUUCCAUCAAAAAAGAGGGAAAGGUUUUUGAGUAUAUUUUAGAAAUACUCAAAGACGAAGAUACCAUACUAGCUAACAAACUGUAUGAUGAUAUGAUUAAUAAAUAUGAACAAUAUAAAUAACUGUUGCUGAACACAUGCACACACAUUAUUAUUUGAUUGUUUGUUUGUAUCUUGAUAUUUCUGAGGACACAAAA